CGGAAGGUCCGGGCGUUAUCCGGAUUUAUUGGGUUUAAAGGGAGCGUAGGCCGGAGAUUAAGCGUGUUGUGAAAUGUAGAACGCUCACGUCUGCACUGCAGCGCGAACUGGUUUCCUUGAGUACGGCACAAAAGUGGGCGGAAUUCGUGGUGUAGCGGUGAAAUGCUUAGAUAUCACGAAGAACUCCGAUUGCGAAGGCAGCUCACUGGAGCGCAACUGACGCUGAAGCUCGAAAGUGCGGGUAUCGA
rnacentral:rRNA from 1 species